AGGGGGUCCAGGAGGUGCAGUGGUGAGAUCAGACGUCCUCCCACAAGUUCCCUCCUCUCGGACACCCAGUCCUUUUGGAAGUCUUCUACAGCCUCCCCAUAGGCAUGUCUCAGAAUUUGGACUUGGCUUCCUGUGGUCCAGGGAGCGGGGUGUGUAGUGUGCAGUGUCGGCCGACGGCCUGUAUAGGUCCGGUAACGGCUGUACCUCCACAUCUGCUUCCACGACCUGCUACGACGGGACAUGCCUCAGACAACACAGAAGACCUCCAGAAGGCUGAAAGAAAAGGCUGAAUGUUGUAAAUAAAAAAUGUAUAGUAUAUGAAA